rnacentral:rRNA from 1 species
AUACGGAGGGGGUUAGCGUUGUGCGGAAUUACUGGGCGUAAAGCGCACGUAGGCGGACCGGAAAGUAAGAGGUGAAAUCCCAGGGCUCAACCCUGGAACUGCCUUUUAAACUAUCGGUCUAGAGUUCGAGAGAGGUGAGUGGAAUUCCUAGUGUAGAGGUGAAAUUCGUAGAUAUUAGGAGGAACACCAGUGGCGAAGGCGGCUCACUGGCUCGAUACUGACGCUGAGGUGCGAAAGCGUGGGGAGCAAACAGGAUUAGAUACCCUAGUAGUCC